rnacentral:tRNA from 1 species
GCGCCUAUAGCUCAAUGGAUAGAGCGUUGGAUUGCGGAUCCAAAGGCUGGAGGUUCGACUCCUCCUAGGCGCA